GCAGCUUCAAACCUCUUCUCAGCCUGGUGCUUAACCAGUUUAAACUCAUGCCAAGGAGGGGAGAUCUAGAACACUGGAGCCUAAUGAAUCCAGCCUACUGAGAAAGAGAACAAGGUUUCUGCAGCUACUUUUACCUGUGCCAUUGUUUCCUUGGCUCUUCUUCCUUUUUUUCCCUCUGGUGCCAAAACUGUUUCUGCAAACUUCACAUUUGAACUCUUCUCACUCCCUC
rnacentral:lncRNA from 1 species